rnacentral:rRNA from 1 species
AAGUCGUAACAAGGUUUCCGUAGGUGAACCUGCGGAAGGAUCAUUAUCGAAUAGAAGCUGUUGCUGGCUCUCCUUGGAGUGGCAUGUGCACGCUUGUUCUUCAUUUCUCCAAUUGUGCACCUAUGUCUUCACAAUCUCUGAAUGUAAUGAUUUGAUAUCUGGGGAAUAUACAUACAACUUUCAGCAACGGAUCUCUUGGCUCUCGCAUCGAUGAAGAACGCAGCGAAAUGCGAUAAGUAAUGUGAAUUGCAGAAUUCAGUGAAUCAUCGAAUCUUUGAACGCAUCUUGCGCUCCUUGGUAUUCCGAGGAGCAUGCCUGUUUGAGUGUCAUUUGAAACCUCUCAACCACACCGUUUGGUGUGGCUUGGAAAUGGGGGCGUGUGUGGGCUUCGUUUGUUAGGUCUGCUCCCCUGAAACGCAUUAGCGGUGUGUCUCUCAGCCACAGGUGUGAUAACCAUUCAAUGCCUUGGUACUGCAGACUGCUGCUUUCUCUCUUGAUGACCAAUUUGACCUCAAAUCAGGUAGGGUUACCCGCUGAACUUAA